CCCCUUGCUGAUGAAGAGUUUGUUGCCUACAUCUUGACCGGCCUUGAUGAGGAGUGUUAUAAUCCUCUUGUUCAAUCACUUGUUGCUCGUGUAGAGCCUGUUUCUCCUGCUGAUUUGUUGUCGCAGAUGCUUAGCUAUGAGC